AACCUUGGGUAACAUGUCCAAGG
rnacentral:snRNA from 1 species